rnacentral:tRNA from 1 species
UGGGAUAUAGCUAAGCGGUAAAGCAUUCGUUUUUGGUAUGAAGAAUCAAAGGUUCGAUUCCUUUUAUCCCAUA